AAAACUCUGUCUAAAUAAAUAACAGCUUUGUUUAGUUAGAAAGUUCACUUUGGGACAGUUUACAUACAAAUGGUGGAGGAGUUUUAUUGCAACUGAAUCAGCUUCAGGGUUCGUGGAAGUAAUUCUGUUUCACUGAAAUCUUAAUUUGCCUCCAUGAACAAAUCUCUGUUAAAAUCUUUAGGCCAAUCGUAAUUCAGCUGGGAAAGGAGGUCUUUGACAGUAUGGGAGUAUUUUUUUUUUUUGCAAAGUAUGCAAAUAAUACCAAGUUAAGAUGUUUCAUCCGGGUAGACGAAAACCCAACAAGAGAUUACUGGGAUAAAGUUAAAAGGUGACUCAACAACGCAUUAGCUUAAGGGUGUGCACACUUAACCACAUUAUUUUAGUCAUUUAUUAUCCAUUUUCCCUCCACAAGAUUUUAGCUAUUUUUUCAGUUUGGGUCACAUUAAUUUAGGAAAAAAAGUUCUGAAUUUAUGAGUAUCAGGAAACUAUGGUACAUGAGAUGGUGUUUACAAGUGCUGUAAACACCAUGCAUACAGGAAGUUGUACAUGCUUGCAAAAAGAACAUAAAAUGAAUGGCAAGGCACAAAAAGUUGGACUCUGAAAAGGUUUUUGAAAUAUAAAAAGUAAUAUCAGACUCAAAGUUAAAAGGCAGUACAUGGUUUUUGAUCAUUUCUUGAGCUGCAUGUCUAAGCCAAUUGCAUUUUGCUGAUUUUCUUAUUAACUGUUCUUGAUCACCAACUAAGAGAAAUACAAAUGCAGAAAACUACCGUCUUUUGAGUUCUCCCAGUAAUUCAUAAAUUUGCACACAAAAAUGCAACACGUGUGUGCUAGCAUGAACAAAUAAUGCUUACUUUGCACACAAGCACAUGUGAAUUAAGGUUGUAAGUUAAGCUAUUGUUUUGUUUGCCAUUAAUAA